GAGAACGUAGUAUAAAGGUAUUAUGCCGCCCCGGGGGGAUUUAUUCCCAUGUUCACAUAUCAGUGACUUGGCGGAUAGAUGUUGGUUCGAGUCCAACCGUUCACCUUA